UCUCUAUUUCACACUUGAUAGACACCAGAAGAAAUAGAACGACUGACAGUUGAUGAAGAACUCAAUGACAUUGAAAGGGCUCUUUACCUGCUCAGUUCUGGCCAGGAUGUCCAAGGAACAAGCGUGGUGGCAAAUCUUCCAGUCCUGAUGCGACAGAAUCCCGCAGAAACACUCCGUCGAGUUUUACCAAAAAUCCGAGAGGUGCUGCAUGUUGCAGGAGUGGAAAUGCAGUUAACAGCUGCUGUUUCAUUUUUAACUGUACUGCAAGAUGAAUCGGUGUCCAUUCAUACAUACUCCCACUCCUUCCUACACAUCAUUCUCCAGAACUUGGAACACAGGGAUGCAGGUGUCAGCAACGCAUGGCUAGAAACUCUUCUUGCUGUAAUAGAAGCUUUACCCAAAGAGACUAUCAGACAUGAGAUCCUGAAUCCACUUGUUUCCAAGGCACAGAUUUCUCAAACACUUCAGUCACGCUUAGUUAGUUGUAAAAUCAUGGGAAAAUUAGCUAACAAAUUUGAAUCUCACAUAGUUAAAAGAGAGAUUCUUCCAUUGGUAAAAUCACUGUGCCAGGAUGUAGAGUAUGAAGUAAGAACUUGCAUGUGUCGGCAACUGGAACCUAUAGCUCAAGGAAUAGGGACAGAACUAACCAAAACCGUGGUGCUUCCCGAAUUAGUGGAACUGGCAAGAGAUGAGGGCAGCAGUGUACGCCUUGCAGCUUUUGAGACGUUAGUGAAUCUGCUUGAUAUGUUUGACUCAGAUGAUAGAAGGCAAACUGUGCUCCCCUUAGUGAAAUCAUUCUGUGAAAAGUCCUUCAAAGCAGAUGAAUCCAUCCUAGUUUCCUUAUCUUUCCAUUUGGGAAAACUGUGCAAUGGAUUAUAUGGCAUUUUUACUCCUGAGCAGCAUUUACGGUUUUUGGAAUUUUAUAAGAAGCUUUGUACACUGGGCUUACAGCAGGAAAACGGACACAAUGAUAAUCAGCUACAACUCCAAACUUUGGAACAGGAAAAGAAGUAUAUUUCAGUAAGGAAGAACUGUGCUUACAAUUUUCCAGCCAUGAUAGUUUUUGUGGAUCCAAAGAACUUCCAUUUAGAACUGUAUUCUAUAUUCUUCUGCCUUUGUCAUGAUCCUGAAGUUCCAGUCAGAUAUACUAUGGCCAUAAGCUUCUAUGAAGUUGCUAAGCUUUUAAAUUCUGGUGUGUAUACAAUUCAAAAAGAACUGGUUACGCUAUUACAGGAUGAGUCACUGGAGGUUUUAGAUGCUCUGGUAGGUCACCUUCCUGAAAUCCUUGAACUAAUGAUUAAUGGAGGAGAAAACAGUGGAUCAGAAAGCAAGUUACUAUCUAUUCCUGACUUGAUUCCUGCAUUGACAACAGCAGAACAGAGAGCAGCAACUUCCUUAAAGUGGAGAACUCAUGAGAAGUUACUACAAAAAUAUGCGUGUCUCCCUCAAAUCAUAUCAAGUGAUCAGAUUUAUUACCGUUUUCUUCACAGAAUGUUGACAAUCAUUUUGACAAACAAUGUCCUUCCAGUCCAAAAAGCAGCUGCUCGAACUCUCUGCGUUUAUUUACGUUAUAAUCGCAAACAAGAACAGAGGCAUGAGGUUAUUCAGAAACUGAUUGAACAACUGGGCCAAGGAAAAAGUUAUUGGAACAGACUUCGUUUUUUAGAUACUUGUGAAUUCAUUAUGGAACUCUUUUCAAAAUCAUUCUUCUGUAAAUACUUCUUUCUACCUGUGCUUGAGCUUACUCAUGACCCAGUGGCAAAUGUGAGAAUCAAGCUGUGCUAUUUGUUGCCAAAAGUUAAAUCUACUCUGAAGAUUCCCACUGAUAAACAUUUGCUUCAGCAGUUGGAGUUAUGUAUACGGAAACUUUUGUGCCAAGAGAAAGACAAAGAUGUCCUGACUAUUGUAAAAAGAACAGUGUUAGAAUUGGACAGAAUGGAUAUCUCUUUAGAUGCUUUUCAGAAAAGAUUUUACGAAAAUGAUUUAUUGGACCAAGAAAAAGAAAGACAAGAACAUCUCCUUUUGGAAAUGGAACAAUUAGAAAAAGAGAAGCAGCAAAAUGAAGGAAGAUCUGCAAAUGUUAAUGAUAAAAUAUUUGAAAAGAAGCGUAGAGAUAAUAAAACAUCAUCAGUGUUAGUAAAAAGUAUGACUCUUUCUUCUUCUGGGAGCUCUUCUGGUACCUCAACAGGCAAAGAAGACAAAAAAUCCAAGCUGGUUCGAAGCCAGUCUUUCAGUACUCAAGCACUGCAUCCAAAAUACAGCAACAUAGACAAGUGUUCUAAUAAAAGCUCUGCUACAGGAUAUACAUCUUCACUAUCAGGAAUGGGGAAGGGUUGUAUGUUAUCCUUUAGUGAUGAUUCAUUUCGGACUCGUUCCACUGGUAACAGUGGGAAUGCUACCUUCUCUUCCAGUUCCUCCCUCAUAGCUUCUCACAACUCAUUUAACUCAACUGACCAAAAGAACAAUGGAAAUAAAGAGAGCCAGUCCCGAAAGAUGAGCAUAAAAAACAGAAAGUCAAACUCCUAGAUCUUCUGACAGGUUAAGAAGAGAAUGCGUGACUGCUGGAAGCAGAAAUUUCACGUGAUAGCGCUGGAGCAGCACAUGGAACUCUGUAAUGCCUGGGAUGACCAAAUGCAUCUUGCAGUGUUAAAACCUUUUAACUUUUAAACAAAAUCCCAAGUUGUAAAAUAAGUGAUGUAAUGGUUGCAGACUUCUAAUGUUGUAGUGAAAUGUAAUGAAAUUGCAAUUUCAGCUAUGUGCUUUUCACUGCUGCAGCUAAAGAGAGGAUUUUGAUUUCUUCAGUUAUGCCUUUGUAGUUCAAAUUCUUGGAUUUAGAAUGCACAUAUCCAUUACUUAAUUGGGUCAAUUUACAAUUUUAUUAAUUCUUAACAUCCAUACUUUAUUCAAGAAAUAGAAGGAAUUGUCAUGAAUAUGAAAAAGUAAUCCCGCAUCUUAAAGAUCUUUCAAACCUAAUUUAAGAUCAAAAUGCAGACCCAUUGAUUAGUUUUAUAUAGAUAAAACACAAACUUCAGUAGCAUUGUACUGUGAAUUUGGAGGUAAAGUUUUUUACACGUACAAAGUAAAGCUCAUAGAAAUUCUGUGUAAGUUUCAUAGCAGUCUAAAAGGAGAUGUCUCCAGGUGAUAUUUAAAAAAAUUUCAUAAGUUUUGUUGUAUAAAUACUUGCUUUAGUUUUUAGUAUUUCAGAUUGUAUUUUCACUUGAAUAAUUUAUAAUGAUGAAUCUAGUUUUUAAUUAGCUGUUAUUGCAAGCAAUCAUGCUUCAGUGAUGUCAUCUGCAUUAAUGCUAAUGUUUCUAUCAAAAUAUGUCUGUGGAAAAACAUUCAAUUCUAUUUUAAAAAGUUCUAUUUACGUCAGUACUCUAGAGAGAGCAUAUGAAGCUAUUGUCAGCUUCUCUAUUUCGAAAUGGAAGCAACAUAAAUAUAUUAAUAUAAGAAAUAACUGUUUUUUUAACUCUGUUGGUGUAUGAUAAAGAUGAUCUGAUUUGUGAAUGCAUAUGCGUGUGUGGUUACUUUUUAUAAUGUAACAAUAUGAAUGAUGAGUUUACUCAAAAUAAAACUAGGACAAUGCUGUACAUGCAUGUUCUUGAAAUAAAUAUUUUUUCUCAGGGAAUCUUUUAUAACUAAAAUAAAAGUAUUUACCUAUGGAAAAUAUUUAUUUAACAUAGUAAUAAUGCUAGAUUUAUGCUGUUUUGUGUGAAGUGCAAUAUGUUGUAUUUAGCAGCGUUUUAUUAUCUAAAUAUUUCAGCCUCUUAGCCAAAGUUGGAUUUGUUUUUCUUUUUCUACAGUCAUAAACAUGGUUUGGAUUCUGUGGAAACACUCAAGUUUCAGUCUGUGCUGCAGCUUGGUGUAGGCUCCUGCUAAUCAGAUUCCUUUAAAAGCUGCCUCAAGUACGGUGAUGUUUUUGACAUUCGAUGAUGCAGAUGUGCUGGCUCUUCCCAGGAACCCCUGGGACUGCCAGCGUGCCUGAUGUGAAGAUGAGAAUUUACCAGCAGACUUACUGAUAUCUCAGCAUUCUUUCCUAAGAACUGUAAUUAGUCUAGUUACAAAACUAAGAUAUAGUACAGAUUACUUGCAGUUAAAACUAAUACAGGGAAAGGUUUUAGUACCCUCCCCACACCCCGAGUUUUAUUAUCACUGUUUCUCUGCCCUGCUUGGCUUCAUCCCUGAGAGAAGGGCACAGUGGGACAGCUGCAUCCUGAUCCUUGAUGAGAGGAGCGUGAGGGUUGUGGGUACUAACUAUGGGAUCCAUCUGGCAUCACUUUUGUUUUCUAUUUUUCUGUACACUUUGCCCUUCCUUCAUUGGUUCACAGAUCUUCAUUCACUGGAUCUUACUACCUGUGGUGUGCCUUACAUGCACUGAGCACUCAGUCUGUGUUCUGUUUAUCUCCGAGACUGGAUUUACCCAGCUCCAAAGGCUACAGUCUUUUGAAGGUCAGUUAUUGUACACUGGUGAGCUGUUUAUGGCCCUGAAGGCACCAGUGUCAUUCUGAACCUGAACUCUUAAAUCUCCUUACCAUCGCUCUGCACCUGUACCCUUUCAUUUUUCAUUCUAGAUCCAUAGACAGAACAUAUGCUCAUUCUUGAUGAUUACUGAUUACAGAGAUUUCUAGUGAUGCAUAGAUGUUACACAAUUAUACAAAUCCAAGGAAAAUAAUAAAUUAGAUAACAAUAUGUAUCCAAAACUGUUACACAUAAAGAGGCUAAGACAAAACUCCAGGCGGGCCACAUGUAGCCGAGCAGAGCCUGACAGAUGGAGAUGUGCACCCCAUGCUCUUGCAAUGAAAAGGGGCUUUCCGUCUCACCAGAAUUUAGCCAGGUCAUCAAAACCUGGGAUGGCCGUGAGUGCAGCUUUGUGCCUCACCCCCUGCUG